GGUCAAGCUACUAAGAGCUUACGUGUGGAUGACUUGGCACGAGAAGGCGAAGAAGGACGCGGUAAGCGGCGAUACGCUCCGGGGAGUCGCAAACAGACUUUGAUCCGGGGACAUCCGAAUGGGGCAACCCUUUGCGAGUUAUGUCGCAAAAUCAUGCGCUGAAUCCAUAGGCGCAUGAAGCGAAACCGGGAGAAGUGAAACAUCUCAGUAACCCGAGGAAUAAAGAAAGACAUUGAUUUUCCUAGUAGCGGCGAGCGAACGGGAAAGAGCCUAAACCACCCCGACUUGUCGGGAUGGGGUCGCGGGACCGCGAUAAAGGGAUUGUGUAGGGAUAGCAGAACGAGCUGGAAAGCUCGGCCGAAGACGGUGACAGCCCAGUAUGCGAAAUUCCGAAACACCCUAGCGGUAUCCCAAGUAGUGUUGGACACGUGAAACCCAGCAUGAAUCUGGCCUGACCACGGGCUAAGGCUAAAUACUAUCUCGUGACCGAUAGUGCACAAGUACCAUGAGGGAAAGUUGAAAAGAACCCCUGUAAGGGGAGUGAAAUAGUACCUGAAACCGUAAGCUUACAAGCAGUGGGAGGCCUAUGACCCGCCUUCGGGCGGGUAACGGCUGACCGCGUGCCUUUUGGUUAAUGAUCCGGCGAGUUGCUGGGCGUAGCAAGGUUAAGGCCUUAGGGGCCGUAGCCGUAGCGAAAGCGAGUCCGAAUAGGGCGAAAUAAGUUACGUCAAGCAGACCCGAAUGCCAGGUGAUCUACCCUUGGCCAGCGUGAAAGUUGGGUAAAACCAGCUGGAGGCGUGAACCCGUUAACGUUGAAAAGUUAUGGGAUGAGCUGAGGGUCGGAGUGAAAGGCUAAUCAAACUUGGUUAUUGCUGGUUCUCCCCGAAAUAGCUUUAGGGCUAGCCUUGUGUAAUAGCCAUUGGAGGUAAAGUACUCGAUGGGCUAAGAGCCUUACCGGGUUUC
rnacentral:rRNA from 1 species